rnacentral:rRNA from 1 species
UACGGAGGGGGCUAGCGUUGCUCGGAAUCACUGGGCGUAAAGCGCACGUAGGCGGAUUGUUAAGUCAGGGGUGAAAUCCUGGAGCUCAACUCCAGAACUGCCUUUGAUACUGGCGAUCUUGAGUCCGGGAGAGGUGAGUGGAACUCCGAGUGUAGAGGUGAAAUUCGUAGAUAUUCGGAAGAACACCAGUGGCGAAGGCGGCUCACUGGCCCGGUACUGACGCUGAGGUGCGAAAGCGUGGGGAGCAAACAGG